rnacentral:lncRNA from 1 species
UGAUGAUGUAAGUACUUGACCUACUACGCAGAAAAACAGAUUCUGAUUAUGUUAGCUGAUGUAACCUCUCAACAAUCUUAAAUAUUCCAAGAUGUUAGAAGAAAUCUCUUUCAAUACAUUUGUGGAAAUCUUUCUUCUGCUGUACCAAUCCUCCAAAUAUGUUCCAAAAAAAAUUCCAGAUCUCCAAAACUCCUUUCAGCUGUAAUUUCAGAAACAAGAAUUAUUCUUACCUCCAGAUUAUUCCAAUUUCCAGAAUUUUCCAAUAAUUCAAAUUUCAAAAUAUUCUUCAAGAAGGAUUAGACGUUAGAGACCAACAUGUUUAUUCAGAACGUCAAAUAUGCAUUAUUAUUCAGUAACUCCAAAGCUUAGCUAUCGAUAGAAAAAUCGAUCUUUCUGAGGAUAAGUAACAAUCACAAGUUAUAAAUCAGUAUCACAUAAUUGCAGGGUUCCAUUUGAAAAGGAAAGCAAAAUAAAUGAAGUACACACCUGCAAGUAGCUUCUUACAUGACCAAUGCAGGACAUCUUUAUGAAAUGCCUUCCUGCACACCUAGAGAGAGAAAGAAAAGAGGGGAGGGAGAGAGAGAGAGAGAGAAAUCACGUCAAUAGAUGUAGAUGUUGUCACCAAAUUCCAAAAUUAGUUAAAAGGUAAGUUCUGUACAUUAGAUAGUGGCCUCGGAACAUCAUUUUUCCAGCCCCCUCUAAAUGCCAGAAUGGAAUCUAAACUUGGUACAAAUCAAAUUGAGUUGUCAGGCAAUGUACUCUGCUCAUUCUGGCAAGGACAAGCAUUAUCAUAUUCUUCUAGUCUGUGCAAGCAGCAAAAGAGCAGAUUACAAAGUCAUAAUCUUGGUUUUUUUAAGAGGUGAAAUAAGCCUAUGCAAAACAUAUACAAGGUCAAUUACCGAAAAUUCUACAAGAUUGAACUUUGAACUUGCAAAAACAAGUCAAUUCUCCAGUCUCCACACCUUAAGGAUCCCUAAAACUGAAGCACAAAAAAGCAAUGGCUUCAACACUAGUUGCACAACAUUUUGACAGCAAUGUAUCCAACACAAGCACAUUCGAAGUCCAAACUCAUACAUGAUUUUAACAGCCUGGAAGAAGUUUGAGAGGACAACAAUGCUAAGAAUUGAAGUACUUCUGAUGUAGGACGGAUUUAAGAUAAAUAAUUAAUAGAAAAUAAAUUAGCAUUUAAACUCCACAUUUAAAUCUCUAGGACGAAUCAACACUAAAAAUGAAUAAAAUAUCUCUACGUAUGAAUGAUAAAUAGUCUGUAGUUAAAAAAUUGUGUGGAUUACAUCACUAUUUAGAGACUCAAAACCCUAAUGGAAUAAUAAAAGUACUAAACGAUUAAAAUACCCUUAUUAAUAAUUCCUAAUUAAUGUUUUUAAUCCCCACAAAUAAAUAAUUACAUCAAUUACUCUUACAUUAAACAUAAUAAAAACUCUAAAUAAUAAGAAUUCUUUGUUAAAGUCUUGACUUGUGAUCCUCAUCAUUCUCAAUUUAAGGUAAAGAAUUAAUGGAAAAUAAAUUAGAAUUUAAACUCCAUAUUUAAAUCACUAUGGGCUCUCAAGUGUAUCAACUCCACGAAUCAAUGCUAAUAUGGAUAAAAUACCUCUACAAUAUGUAUAAUAAUAAUCAACUUCAAUAUCAAUAGUCUAUAAUCUAAAGGACUUGUGGGGAUUACACUAUUUAAAAAGACACGAAACCUUAAUAUUACUUGGGGAAUAAUAAAAGUACUAAACAACUAAAAUACCCUUAUUAAUAAUCCUAAUCAAUAAUUAAUGUCCUAAAUCCCCACUAAUAAAUAAAUUACAUCAAUUAGUCUUACAUUAAACAUAAUAAAAACUCCAAAAUACAAGAAUUCUUUGAAAGUCUUGACUUGUGAUCCUUAUCUCCAAAACUCAACCUCGAGUUUUAUAACAUGAGAGAAUAAUCCAUGAACUUCUUUGCACCGAAAGAGCAUUUUGGAACACCUUUGACACCAUCUUCACAUGAUAAGGCUCAAACAAUUUCGGGAAGAGAAUUGAUGAAAGUGUCACUUUUGUAUUCAUAGGUGUUGAAAAGUAAUUUUUUGAAAUAACGAGCCCAACAUUAUCAACUUGGACUAGAUCAACUUCGCAAACUGUCUUCUCUUCGUUGACAAACAACUUAAAAGUAAUUUCAAUGUCGUCCUCAAUUUGUGGGUCACAUAUAAUCUCUAGUUCAACUUUUGAAACUUUAAGAAUUCCAUGAACAUGAACAUGUUAUAACUGUCUGUAGCCCAUAAUUGUGAACAUCCUCUUUUUCGAUCUCUUGCUCUUUCUCUGCUCGAAUAUGUGCCAGAAAGUCAAUAAGGCCAUCUUUUAUAGAAUGUCAUAUUUUAUAAAAAUGAUUUCAUCUUUUAUAGAAGAACAUAUAGAAACAGUUUCACGUGUAGCCUUUUGAAGUUCUUUUGUUUUAGUUUGUUUGACGUUUCUUUGCUUCAACAUUUAUUAGUUAAAGUCUUGACUUGUGAUUCCCAUCAACUUCCCAGUAAAUAAAAAAAAAUUAAAUAGUUAAUAAACCAGCAAAAAGACAUAAGAUUGACCUGUUUUUAAAGAAAUAAUGACGUUGGAAAAAAAUUGGCACCACAAACUAUGAAAAUGAGGAAGGAAUUUGAAGUUAUGUUGAUUAUAUUUAUAUCAGAUCGCCAAACAACAAUAAUCCCAGGAAUCCUCUGUUAACCAUAAUCUCUUCCUAUAAAUUAACUAUUCUUUUUUUUNNNNNNNNNNNNNNNNNNNNNNNNNNNNNNNNNNNNNNNNNNNNNNNNNNNNNNNNNNNNNNNNNNNNNNNNNNNNNNNNNNNNNNNNNNNNNNNNNNNNUGCUGGUGGUCGGAGUGGGAAGUAGGAAAUAACAUAGACGAGAUACUUUUAGAUAGAAAAGAUAUUUGAAAAGGGAGAGAUUACAAGCAGCAGGGGGACAAGGAGUCCACCAUCAUUGUUUAAUAAGUGGAAAUAAAGAGAGAGUGCUCCAAAAAUAGCAUCUCUCCAAUCUCUACAAAUAUCUUAAACACAAAAACCUAAAGACCAGCAGUUAAACAAAAGAAAUAUAGUUGUUCAUAAAAUACCUAGGCUUACCGCUCAUUCCAAAUUUCCCAAACAAUAGAAAAGUUGAACACUUUCAAAACAUAUCGUGUCCUUUCUUGCAAAGCCUCUAAAGUGAGUAAGUAGCAAAUCCUCCACCAAAGCGGGGCAAACCUACCCCUUCCCAAACGCACCAAAUAUAGAGUUCAAAAACCCCAAGCAACAUGAAAAUGCAAAAAGCAAAUUUAGAAACAUACUAUAUAAUAGAACUAUUACAAUGCUUAAAUAGAAAACCUAAUCAGUGUUCUAAAAGUCGCUAGUCGGUCCCAUGUCGGUUGGCUACCGACUAGCGACUAGGGGAUUAAUCGGCUAGUCGGAUUUUCAAACACCACAGUCAGAUUUUAAUAAUUUAAUUUAUAACUGAAGUUGAAAAAAUUUAAAAAUUAAAAUGAAAUAUUACAAUUAACUAAAAAAAUUAACUAAUUUAAUUUAUCCAACCUUUUCUUUAAUGCCCACUAAGGAACUAAUUAACUAAAACAAAAAAAAUUAAAAAAUUAAUAAUUUUGCCCACUUUGGCCAGUUUGCCGACAAACUGCUUAUGCCUUAUAAGCCUUAUAUCAGUAUUCAGUAGAUUGUAAACUAUUUACAAAAAAAAUAAUAGAGAAACUGAGAGAGAGAGACGAGCCGGAAAAGAACUACCUGAUCGCCGAAGAUGAUGAAGAUGAAGAGCAGCAGUCGAAGAUGAAGAGCAGGUGAGCAGCAGUCGAGUCGAAGAAGGAGAAGCAGCAGCAGUUGUCGUUCCAGUCGUCGGCAGCAACAGUCGUCGUCGACAACAGUUGUCGUCGGAGAAGCAGCCGCAGUAGCAGUCGGCGUCGUCGGUCGAAGAAGGAGAAGAAGCAGCAGCAGUUGCCGAUCCAGUCGUCGUCGUCGGAGAAGCAGCCGCAGUAGCAGUCGUCGGUCGAAGAAGAAGUCGUCGUCGGUCGAAGAAGAAGCAGCAACAGUCCGAUUUGUUUCGAUUUGCCCCGACUUUACCGACUAGUCGACGACUUGAUCCCGACUAAGUCGGCCAACGACUAAAUCAAAGGACUAGGGCCUGGUCGACUCGGCGAGCCUCCAACCCCGACCUAGUCGCCAACUAGGCCGACUUUUAGAACACUGAACCUAAUACUUUGAGACUAAGUAAAAACCUUAAUUUAAAAAGGAAAAAAUCUCCUAAUUAAAAUCUACUACUAUAAUUAAAUCUUCUAGAAUGCCCUACUAAAAUAGUUACAUUAAUAGUUCAAUAUUUAUCUCUAAAUAACAAAACAAAAUUAAUAAUAAAUUUCUUAAUUUUCCUCUUCAGUACCACAUCAUUAUCCCCGCCUUUGAAAAAAACUCAUCCUUGAGUUUUGAAAUAUCACAAAAUAAUAAAGGGCGAAUGACAAAAUUGUCCCCCCAAGUUUGGAUGAAAAUCAAUUUCAUACUCAAAGUUUGGGAAUCUUCAAUCAAUAUCUCAAAUUAUUUAAAAACUCCAAUUGUGUUCCUUUUGGCUUGAGCACCCAAUUUUAUUGCCGUAGAUAGACGUGUCUACAAAUUAGCUAUAUCCUACGAAUUGAAUACAGAUGGAUACGUAUAUUGUAUUUUAUACGCAUAUAUAUAAUCUCAAUAAGAUUACGCAUUUACUUGCAGCUUCAAAAGGAGUGAGGAGCAACAUUGAGGGUUUUACGCAAUUUUCAAAAGCAAUCUAGGGUUCUACAAAGAUUGAAAACAAUCGAGUAUAGAUACACUUCUGAUUUCGAAAAUGGAGUCUCACAAAUGGAGUUUGAGACCUGUCGGGCAGGAUGUGCCACAAUAUUAGGGUAAUAUACUUAAAUAUAUGUUUGUCUGGUUUAUUGUUUGUUGAUGGAAUCUUGCAAUUAUUAAUUGAUGGUGAAAAAUGACGCNNNNNNNNNNNNNNNNNNNNNNNNNNNNNNNNNNNNNNNNNNNNNNNNNNNNNNNNNNNNNNNNNNNNNNNNNNNNNNNNNNNNNNNNNNNNNNNNNNNNUGGACCCUCUGCUUUUGUUCAAUUUUUAUAAAGCUUUGUUAUUUCUGCACAAUGUUUGUUUGUUGUCUAUCCGUGUGGUCCCUUUUUGUUGUGUUCUGAUCAUCUAUUUAAAAACAAUUGUACUCUUUUGUGCUUGCAUUUCAUGCAGAUGUUGAUCGUUUGAAGGCUUUAUUUACUGUGAAAAUGUGUUAUUGGGGGGAAUUUAAAGACAAGGGAUAUGUAGGUGGGGUACAUGAAUAUGUAGACUUUUGUAGAAUAGACCUUAUAACCACUUGGGGGAUAUGGCUACGGAAAUGGGUUUCUAUGGAGCAUUAAACUUUCAUCAUUGGUGUGUAGAGAGGGGAUUAAGGGAAAUCAUAACUAAUGAUAACAUUAAGAACAUAGGUCCUUAUUUGCCCAUUCACAGACAAGUAACAAUCAUCCUUGUUCAUAUGGAGCAUCUGUCAGUUGCUCCUCCUCUUCCUAAAUGGAGUCGGGUUGAGAUAAAUUUAGAUGGAGAUAUAUCAUAAACUGUCACCACAACUUAAUAUAACUUCAACUAAAAAAAAUAGUUAAAACCAUUACUUUUUACGCGCCUCUAAUCUUUAUCAUCAUGGUAACGAGGGAAUCACACCACGUCUUUAAUCUGCAAAUUAUUGCAAGUUUGAGCACGACAGCCUAACAACAGUUUUUAUGCAUCACGCUCAUACAUACUAUUCAUUUCAAUCAUGCAUCAUAUUCUUCAUGCUAUGCAUUUGAUACAUGCAUCAUAAUUCUUAUGCAAUGUGACUAUAUAUGCUUCAUACGUCUCAUGAUAUGCAUUUUUAUAUGCGAGUUUUCAAUUUCAUCAUAUUGAAUUCAAAUUAUACUUCAUGCAUUAUCAAGCUUAUCAUAUCACGUACAAGCUUAUCAAGUCGUCGCCUAGGCGACACGCUUAGUCGUCCGAGCGGUAUAAAAUUUCAAGGCGUCGGGGCGACUUGGGUGCAGAUUCAAGAGGCGAGCGACUAGGCUGCGACUUGGACGACUGGCGAGCGACUUGGACGCCUACAUAGCUAAGCGGUCGACUUGGUUCGACCCGAUUCUUACUGGGUUAAAAAAAAAACCUAAAGUUCGACUAAAUAGUCUGAACUCUGAAGUUAGGGAAAUCGAUCGAUUCGGAAGAUUGGAGAGGGAGAAACGAGACCAAACAGGGAGAUCUCAGUUGUUCGACUAGCUUCGGCGAGUGAAGUGAGGGAAGAAGUACCUACCAUCUCUGACUUGCUUCGGCGAGAGGCAACUCAGUUCAGCGACUUGCAGGUAUGCAGUAUGCUUCCUUCUUCUCUUCAUCUUCUUCUCGUCUUCUGAGUUCCGACUUCCUAUCUUCUUCUCGUCUUCUUCUGGAUGAUGAGGAUGUUGAUGUUGAUGAUAUUAUGGCCGAAGAGUAACUACUGUUUCGAGUGAUGAUGCCAUUGCUGGGAGAGAUGAUGAUGAUUUGAUCUUUGAUGAUUUUGUUUGAUAGCUUGAGUGAUAUUUUCAUUAUGAAAAAUGAGAAUUUUGAGUUAAAGAAUACUGAAUUUUUAUGACUUUAUUUUCAUUUCUAUAUUAUGUUUGUUUUUGGCAAUGUCACAAUGAACAUAUUAAAUAUAUAAAAUUUUAUAUGUAUAAAAUUUACAUUGUUAACGACUAGUCAAGCGCUUUGUCGCCUAAGCGCUUAAGCUCCCGGCUGUCGCCUCGCCUCGACUUAGCGCCUUGAUAACUAUCAACAACAAUUGCACAACAGCCUAGUCACGGUCAACGCUAAACCGGAAUGUCCUCAACAUAGCGACAUACCAUAUAUCAACGUCAAUUCAGAUGUUGAACCGGUCAGUUUUCAUGCCUUGGAGGUGAGCAACACUCAGUACCAUGCUAUUGGGACGCCACCCCUCACACCCAAGAUUUCUGCCGAAGUAAUGUCGGCUACUCAAGAAAUAAUAUCCUUGGGUCAUCAGCCAGGACAAGGGUUGGGUAAAGAUCAUCAGGGUAUUAGGUACCCCAUCCAAGUUAUCAGUCAAACUGGGACAGCUGGGCUAGGUUAUCCGGCUAGCUUUAGUCUUAAUUUGACUUCAACAAUUGCACAAUAGCAUUGCAAUCCAAAAUACAUAUUUCAACAUUCUCAUCAAAAUUCUAUCAUAAUACGAUAACAAGUGCACGUAAGCAAUAUCAAGUUCACUUAACACAAACAAAACUGAAAAAACUUGCCUUUAUUGCAAAUUGCUACCGGGUCAACUUGAUAUUGCGUUCUUGAAGCUAUGUUAUCUCGUAUCGCACCUAUAUAGCAUGCAUAAGGUUGUUAUAUAGGUUAAUGAAUAUAUAUUCCACUAACUUUAAUUUAAACUCAAGUCAACUAUAUCCGUUAUGGCUAAUUUGUUCCAUUAACAUUCCUCGUAUUAUUUAUGUAAUGCAAUUAGAAUCAUUACAUAGCUUAAUGUAUCAAUAAUUCAUGAACUUCGUUUUAAACUUGUUUUUCCCAAGCUUAAUAUUUCAAUACAUUGGAUUUAUUAAUAAUAUUAUAGACUAAAUAUACAUAUGAUAUAAUUUUUUAUUAUUUUUUAUGAAUUUAUUUGCUCAGCGUCAAAAUCGGAUCGAAAACGGACGGCGAAACGCUGCCUGGCAGCUAGCGCCAAGCGCCUGCACCAGCGUUGCGCGCUGCUGGGAUAGGCAGCCUGGUGUUGCUGCCUUGCAUUGGCAGCUCAACCUUAUUUUCUUGCCCACUUCGCGAUUUCAUAACCUGAAAUCCAUACGCUCGAUCAAAUCCAAUUUUUAAUAUGUUCUAGAUGGUACUUCAUAGUAUUUUAUAAAAAUACUACCUGAUUAAAACAAGUUUUCUAUGGCAUAGAUUCAACGGGUCAAAAAGUCCAGAAAUCUGCAGAUUUCGCUUAGCCUCGUGCCUACUUUGCCAUUUUCCAUCUUUUAAUCUACAAGUCCGUUAACCUCCAAAUUUUUACAGCAUCAAGAUGGUACUACAUAGUAUUUUUUAAAAAUACUACUUGACCAAAACAAGCUUUUUAAAGCAAAUUUACAGUUGCUCAAAAGUGGCUGGUCAGCCCAGAUUCUGCAGAUUUCCAGCAACUUUGCUAUUUUCCUACUUACUUUGAAAUUUCAUAUCUUGCAAUCCACACAUCCGAUUGCUCUCAAAUUUAAAUAUGUUAUAAAUGGUACUUCACGGUAUUUUACAAAAUUAUAACAUAACCAAUUCGGAUUCUUUAAGUUAUAGAUACAGGGACUCAAAGGUACCCUGUUAGCUCAGUUUUUCACUUAAACUCAAAUGUUAGAAAUUCUUUAAAACUUGUUUUGAACCUGAUUUGACUCACUCAAUCAACAUAGUUUACAUCAUAAUACAUAUACAAAGGUAACCUAGCCCCAAGCUUUGCUUAAUUCUCCAUUUUUAGGCAUUAAACCUCUUUGAGGUGAAUUUUCAAACACCUUGAAGGCAUAGCUUAAAGUUUCAGAUUCCAUAGGGGUUCAGGCAUGUUCCAGCCCAAAAUUUUACAGCCUUAUUACUCCGCACAACAUAUUCAACCUCCCAUCUCAUCAAUUCCACAACCAACACAGAGCAACAUAUCGACAACUAUACAUACUAUUUACUCACUUUCUAUGAAAAUAACCAAAACAUAAGACUAACCUUUGUUUGGUGUAAUAACUGAAAAAUUCCUCCUUUGAGCUGCACUUUACCCCAAUUCGUCUUUAAUUUCAGUUAUUAGUCGCAAUUCCUUGAGAAAUUGGUGGAGUCUUCAGCCCCAAUUUUGAUUAAUGCUUAUAUUUAGGCAAUUGUAGGAGGAAAGUUUAAGAAAUUUAAGAGAGAGAGAGUCAAGGUAUGGAACGGAUGAAAAGGAAGAGCUGAAAAUGGAUUUUUAGCUUAUAAGCUUCCUGAUCUCUGUUAUUCAUCAGACUUUAGACUGCUUAGUGUAGGAUUGAUCACAUAAUUUCAUGCCAGCUCCUGCUUGUUUUAUAUGACUCAUAACAUGGCUACACCUCUUAUUUCUCAGCAUGCUUAUAUGUAUAUUACUUUGUACAUAAUAUCUAUUUAAUAAAAUACAAAUAAUUUUAAAUUUUUCGUUCAUUCAAUAAAUUAUUUGAGCCGUCAUAAAUUCGUCCGUCUAAAGAGUAUCGGAGGCACAGGAGACAUCUAGUAUGUAC